GAUCAAAAGAGGAGGGUUACCCCAUUAUUUUCAUUAAAUUUGAAAUAUUCUGAUAUUGUAUACUAAAAGUUUACUUAUUUCCUUUUAUCAGUCUGUGAUGAUUGUCAAUGUUAUUUUGAUUAGUUUUGCACAUUGGUGAUAUUAGGUUUUCGAGAUUUUUAUUAGUCACCUCAGAACAUUAAUAGUACUAGAUUAAGCAUGAAUUCCCAUAAAGUUUGUGUCUUUUAAGUGGUGUUUGAACUCCCAUUGGUGGUCUUAGAUUGUUUCUACUUUUGACCUGAACUGGCCUUUAUUUCUUGUGUGGUGUGCAUUGCAUGUGUAUCUUCGUUGUGUAUAUAGAUGCAGCAUAUGAUUUUUGUUUUUUUUCCUUAACAAGACAGGCAGAACUUCAAGUAGAUUGUGGCUGGUUUAAAAAGCAGUUUACUAUUUUUGUGCUCUGAAAAGUUGAAUAAGUUCUUAAGAUUUCAUGUUUCUGAUGGAUUUAGGUAGAUAUAUAUUCCUUCUCGCGGAGCAAGUGAAAUAUUGGAAAUUCAUGCGGAGAUGGACACAUCAUUGGUGUCUUUAGCAGAAUUCACGGUGAUGUUUGAUGAUCAUGAUUGGGGUUUUGGUAUUAUGUCCACCUUGCUGAAGCUUGAAUAUGGGGAUAGGAAUCAUCAUGGUAGCCAUGUGUCCUCAACUUGCCGCAAUCUUAGCCAUGUGUGUGCAACUUUGCCGCUAUCUUAUCACUGGGUCGCGCUUUAAGGAGAUGCAAUCACAUUUUAGUUUGUACACACAGUAAUACAGUGAAGGAGAAGUACCACCAACCAGCAAUAAAGAAGAGUACAGAUUUAAAGAAUAUGGUAGUGAAUCCGAGGCGGAGAAAAGAUAAGUGCAUGUGGCUUUGGAAUCGAUUCUAAACCACGGGUAUGCAUCUCAUGUAAGUUCAUCAGUGUAAAGGUCUAUGUUCUCCCCUUGAUUUUUUUUUCAUUUUGUAAUAUUGGAUGUGGCUGUGGAUUAUCCAACAAUUGAUUUCAGUUAUCAACAAAUUAAAAGAGUAUUUGUUCACAGA